rnacentral:rRNA from 1 species
CUCGUAGGCGGUUCGUCGCGUCCGGUGUGAAAGUCCAUCGCUUAACGGUGGAUCCGCGCCGGGUACGGGCGGGCUUGAGUGCGGUAGGGGAGACUGGAAUUCCCGGUGUAACGGUGGAAUGUGUAGAUAUCGGGAAGAACACCAGUGGCGAAGGCGGCUUACUGGACUGCAACUGACGUUGAGGCUCGAAAGUGUGGGUAGCAAACA